ACCCUGUCACCCAGGCUUGACUACAGUAGUGCUAUCACAGCUCACUGCAGCCUUGAACUCCUGGGCUAAGGAUCCUCCUACCUGAGCCUCCUGAGUAGCUAGGACUGGUCUCCAUCUGUUGUCCAAGGCUGGAGUGUAGUAGUGCUAUCACAGCUGACUGCAGCCUCAACCUUCCAGGCUGAAGCGAUCCUCCCAUCUCAACCUCCCACGUGGCUGAGACUACAGGUGCUUGCCACUAUGCCCAACUAAUAUUUGGAAUUUUCGUAUACGUGGAUUCCAGAGGGGUGACAGUGAAACGUGGGACCAUCCAGUUGCAGGAAAACAAGCUUAAGACGCCCAC
rnacentral:lncRNA from 10 species